AAUAUGAAGCCUCGAAACUCUCCCUCCUCAAGUUUGGACCAAGCAUGACGACUUCCUGACAGAGUACAAUAUCGAAAGUAAGGGGAAAGGACAACCUUCUGGAAGUGACUAUAGCAACUCGAUGACCCCACUGCAACCAGGCAAUGCAGCACUUCUUCCUGCAAGAACACACCUGGAUGCCCAGAGGCUCCAGCGCACCCAGGCCCUAGGAAGACGCAGGGAGUCUUCUGGCGCUCCCUCUGCUGCAUUUCUGAACACACUCCUGAGAGAUGGACAAGCUCUUUACUGCACUGAAGCCCAAGACCCAAGACAAUGUAGGAAGUGCCAGCGGGUACAUCACUGCCACCAUGGAACUGAUGGGGAGAAUAUAUCCUGCUCUACCAUGCUGCUGGGUUAAAGGACAAGGCAAGACAGUAUGGAGAAUGAAGUGCUACUCAGAGGUUGUUGGAGUAACACCCAUGGGAAAUAAGAGACAAAGGUGGUGGAUGAGUUUCAACUAAUGGACGCAGAAGAAUACAGAAACGUGCACCUGUGAAGCAGUCAUCUGAUGACUGCUCCUACAAGAAACAUUCUUGAGAAAAUCUUAAAGUAGGAUUGCUUUUAAUUUAUCUCCACAUCCUCUGGGGGUGAGCAGCCCCUUUAUCUUAACAUUCUUUCUGAGGUAUUUUUAACCAAUCCGUUUUAUUGAUCACUGAUUUAAAUGUUGGUUAAGAACCUAACAUUUAUAACGCAGAUGAAAAUGUGCUUUAUGGAAUCUCAUCUCUUUCCUCAUGUGUAUUAAAAUUAUGGAAUCUCAUCUCUUUCCUCAUGUGUAUUAAAAAGAAAUUCUGGAUAUGCUAAGUGGUGGUACAGGUUGGGCAGUUCACAGUUAGGAUCUAUACAUAUUGGAUGAAAGGUACACUCUACUUUUUAUUAUUGUAAAAGAAAUUUAAUUUACUCUUUUAUAAUUUCACACACACAUGCAUACAUACAUGCAUACACACACAUAUUCAUAUAUAUAUAUAUAUAUUCAUCCCUUCUCCCCAACUCCCUUUUCUUAUUGUCCUCCAAUUUUCUCUGGAAUCCUUCUUUAUUCCGAUAUGUCCACAGAUACAUUUAUAAAUGGGUUCAUGAUUAAGUUUUUGU